rnacentral:sRNA from 2 species
UUGUAACCCGCGUUAGCUAUUGCAGCGGCAUCCUUUUUUAGGGGGCCGGCACCCUAAAAAAGAUAUAGCGGAAAGAGCGGCCCCGA